AUGCUUUCUCAGAGGCAAUAUCAUGGUCUAUGAGGGUCUACUGAGACGUGAUUAUUGCUGGUUGAAUAAAUGUAACUUAAUACCCUGCCAGGGCAGCUGGCAGUAACCUUGGUCAUUUUUUUUUUUUUUUUUUUUCAUUUUGCAGUGUCCGAUAGAG
ensembl:snRNA U4 U4 spliceosomal RNA